UAUCGCGUAUUUAUGAAACGUGUAUUAUACCGGGUCGAAUUACUGCUCAUGUAGUACCCAUCUCGAUAGGGUGGACGAGAAAACGAGAAGUGCAUAUUAUAUUAACGAAACGUACCUCCCCUUCCCCUCGUUAUAGGAAUCGUAAAAAAUAGUUCCCGGCCGGAACACUGCGUUAUACUGCGCAGAUACCCAAUAAUGUCGCGGGUAGGAUUAAAAGGCAGCGUUCGGGCGGAAAAAACCUGUCCGGGCCAAUCGAAAAAUAUCCGCAGAUUACUGCGCGGAAUUUCGGGUGAAAAAUCAUCAUUCGUGUACAGAUUCCGGCCGCGUUGAUUUUGAAGUGGCAGCCGGCGGCGGCGGCGCUCGUGAUAGGUCGGCCGUCACGACGACAACGACCGGCGGCGGCUGGGCGGAGAAGACACAAAAUAAUAACA